GUGCUUGCUAUGUGCCUGACUGAUGAAAAUAAAACAGCUUGCUUCAAGUAUGCCUAUUCUUCAAGUAUGCCUAUUCUCCCCUCUUUAGAGAACAGCUCAUUUUGAUCUUUCUCUAAACCUUGUUUAAUCCAAAAGACAGAUUCUGGGUAUUUAAAAAAAAAAAGAAUCUCAUAACCACUGAAGCGCUGGGCUGUCAUGUGUUGUGUGGUGAGAUUUGUCAUCAGCUGAGUGACCUGGUGACUGGCAUGAAGUAUUGUAGGAUGCCCU